AAGAAAUAUUUUACAUAUAUAUUUUUUUAGCAAUAUUCUCAACUUAGUAUUAGCAAAUAUUUUUCUCAACCUUAAAGGCAAAGAAUAUUCUCAACUUAGUAUAAAUAUUUUUCUGAACCUUAAAGGCAAAGCAAUAUUCCCAACUUAGUAUUAGUAAUAUUCUCAACUUAUUAAUAGCAGAACCUUAAAGGCAAAGUAUGGGAAGAAAUGAAGAGAUUGUGCCUUCUUUGAUAAAUCAUGCACAAGAAGAUGGAGAGGAUGAUCUCCUUUUUUACUAUUUUUCAACAAAAUUUUUAUAGAUGAAGAAGUUGUAAUCGAUAUCUCCAUUGCAGCUGAUAGCUCUGUAACUUUACCAAUAUCAGUUAAUAACAUUCAA